CCCGGACAAGGAAGGAGAUCUUUGAAACCCCCGUCAAGGGUCUGCAGCGGCUGGAGUACAGAGGCUACGACUUGGCAGGUGUGGCAAUCGAUGGGAAUAAUCACGAAGUCAAAGAAAGACACAUUCAACUGGUCAAG